ACGCAUAAGUACGGAAUAAUAUAUCGAUUUAUCGCGAUAUGACCAUUAUUUUAUUUCACGUUUUAAACGCGCGUAAAAGAAUAUCAUUUUUGUAUACAAAAUUUAACGGCGCAGCAAUACCUCGCGGUUUUUGCUUUUUAAAUAAUAUUAGGUCACGCGUUUAUUUCGACCGUGUGUUUUUUACGCGCAAGAGACGCCCAUACCCGCAUGGUCUGUCUCCGUCACACAAUCGAGCGACAUAAAACACAUUUGCGUUCAGC